GAGAGCACCGCCCACAGGCUGAAGAUCCUGCCCCUUCAGGACGGCCGAGAACGCGCCUGCCUUGCACCACCCCCACCCCGCCCCGCGUCCUUCAGGAGAGCCGGAAACGCUCCUACCCCUACUUCGCUUCUGCACGGCCGCGAGAACGCACCUGUCCAGCCCCCUGUUCGCUCCGCCCACUCAGCGCGCGCGGGAGCGCGCGCGGGAGCAGCUCCAACUUUUUCAAUUUGCCGCCAUCUUUACGGCGGCCGACUUCCCAGCCUGCCUCGCGUCCAGGGAGGCGGAGCUCAGAUGAGGUCCGGGGAAUGAGGUGAUUCGCCCAAAAGCACACUACAAAUUGGAGUCACCAGCAGGUCUGCUAUUUUGCCACUAAACCAAUCUGCCGGUCACACCUUGGCUGUAAAGUGUCCUAACAGCCACCUACUUAUGAUUACUGCUUUCUUACCAAUAACCUCCCCAGCCUGUUGUGUGGCUCCUACAUCUUGAACAAAAGCGACCAAGGCAUACAUCUGUAGGAGACCAGAAUAUGCCACCCCAAAAUAUGCCUCCUUGGCCUAAGGAUUAUUCUGAGCUAGUAAUUUUGAGAAACAGAAGCUAUGAAAACAGCAUAAGCUACCCCUUUGAAAGAGAAAUUCACCCCGGCCACCACCCCGUCUGGGAAGUGAGGAGCGUCUCUGCCCAGCCGCCCCGUCUGAGAAGUGAGGAGCCCCUCCGCCCGGCAGCCGCCCCGUCUGGGAAGUGAGGAGCCCCUCUGCCCGGCCGCCAGGCCGUCUGGGAGGUGUGCCCAACAGCUCAUUGAGAACGGGCCAUGAUGACGAUGGCGGUUUUGUCGAGUAGAAAGUGGGGAAAUGUGGGGAAAGGAAGGAGAGAUCAGAUUGUUGCUGUGUCUGUGUGGAGAGAAGUAGACACAGGAGACUCCAUUUUGUUAUGUACUAAGAAAAAUUCUUCUGCCUUGGGAUGCUGUUAAUCUAUAACCUUACCCUCAGCCCCAUGCUCUCUGAAACAUGUGCUGUGUCCACUCAGGGUUAAAUGGAUUAAGGGCGGUGCAAGAUGUGCUUUGUUAAACAGAUGCUUGAAGGCAGCAUGCUCGUUAAGAGUCAUCACCACUCCCUAAUCUCAAGUACCCAGGGACACAAACACCGGAAGGCCGCAGGGUCCUCUGCCUAGGAAAACCAGAGACCCUUGUUCACAUGUUUAUCUGCUGACCUUCCCUCCACUAUUGUCCUAUGACCCUGCCAAAUCCCCCUCUCUGAGAAACACCCAAGAAUGAUCAAUAAAUACUAAAAAAAAAAAAAGAGAAACUCACAGUCUUAAAAGAAAUCGCUCUUUGUAAGGGUGUCUCCCUCUCUGUACCAGGAAGAGAAAGUUGACUCUAAAUCACCAGAGACCCUUAUCAAUGGAGAAGGCAGCAACUUGUUUUGUGUGCUUCUCCGGGUCUUUUUCCCAAAACUGGCCUUCCUCACUCCCUUCUUUGUUUUUAGCUGAAGAUGGUACUUAAACCUGAAUUCUAAGCCACUCCUUUGAGAAUUACUCAUUUUCUUGGGCAUCUCACAUGUAUAUGCAAAGUAUACAUGUUAAUAUAGCUCCAUUUGUUUUUCUCCUGUUAAUCUUUUGAGCUGGGCAUGGUGGCUCCCGCCUAUAAUCCCAACAUCUUGGG